rnacentral:tRNA from 1 species
GUCGGGAUAGCUCAGGUAGUUAGAGCGAGGGACUCAUAAGCCCUAGGUCGGAGGUGCAAGUCCUCCUCCCGACACCA